UGGGGAAUAUUGCACAAUGGGCGCAAGCCUGAUGCAGCCAUGCCGCGUGUAUGAAGAAGGCCUUCGGGUUGUAAAGUACUUUCAGUCGGGAGGAAGGUGGUAAGGUUAAUAACCUUAUCAAUUGACGUUACCGACAGAAGAAGCACCGGCUAACUCCGUGCCAGCAGCCGCGGUAAUACGGAGGGUGCAAGCGUUAAGCGGAAUUACUGGGCGUAAAGCGCACGCAGGCGGUUGAUUGAGUCAGAUGUGAAAUCCCCGGGCUUAACCCGGGAAUUGCAUCUGAUACUGGUCAGCUAGAGUCGUGUAGAGGGGGGUAGAAUUCCAUGUGUAGCGGUGAAAUGCGUAGAGGUGUGGAGGAAUACCGGUGGCGAAGGCGGCCCCCUGGACGAAGACUGACGCUCAGGUGCGAAAGCGUGGUGAGCAAACAGG
rnacentral:rRNA from 1 species